rnacentral:tRNA from 1 species
UUGGCAAUUAGCUCAACUGGUUAGAGCGUAGGUCUCAUAAGCCUAAGGUUGCAGGUUCAAGUCCAGUAUUGCCAAU